UACGGGAGGCAGCGGUGGGGAAUAUUGCACAAUGGGCGCAAGCCUGAUGCAGCCAUGCCGCGUGUAUGAAAAAGGCCUUCGGGUUGUAAAGUACUUUCAGUCGUGAGGAAGGUGUUAAGGUUAAUAACCUUAGCAAUUGACGUUAGCGACAGAAGAAGCACCGGCUAACUCCGUGCCAGCAGCCGCGGUAAUACGGAGGGUGCGAGCGUUAAUCGGAAUUACUGGGCGUAAAGGGCACGCAGGCGGUUAAUUAAGUUGGAUGUGAAAUCCCCGGGCUUAACCUGGGAAUGGCAUUCAAGACUGGUUAGCUAGAGUCUUGUAGAGGGGGUAGAAUUCCAUGUGUAGCGGUGAAAUGCGUAGAGAUGUGGAGGAAUACCGGUGGCGAAGGCGGCCCCUGGACAAAGACUGACGCUCAUGUGCGAAAGCGUGGGGAGCAAACGAGGGAUUAGAUACC
rnacentral:rRNA from 1 species